UGAUGAUCUGCACCUCUUCAGGGUAGCUGU
rnacentral:piRNA from 1 species